AUGAAUUUGUCUUCGGACAUUAUUUCUUUAAACACUUGUGAACUUGUAUGUUUUUGCUUUGGCUAGUCUUUGUGACUGGCCAAAAGAUUUUAUAAACACCUUUUAUCAAGAAAUUUAUUUUGAAACUGAAUUAUUAAUUAUUCA
rnacentral:misc_RNA from 1 species